GGUUGAUCCUGCCAGUAGUCAUAUGCUUGUUUAAAAGAUUAAGCCAUGCAAGUCUAAGUAUAAAUUUCUUAUAUAAUGAAACUGCGAAUAGCUCAUUAGAACACUUAUAAAUAGCACGGAAGCUAUAAUAUAUGGAUAUCCAUGGUAAUUCUGGAGUUAAUACAUGCACGAAAUUUUGCAAUGCAAAAUUUUACCAUGGCAACUCACUUCAAUUGAGUGAAAACUCAUUUUAAUGAUUUGCGUGGAUUAAGCAAUCGCA
rnacentral:rRNA from 1 species